rnacentral:sRNA from 1 species
CUUCAGUAACUCAUGUCACUGUAUCCAAAGUUGCCAGGCCAUGCUGUUUUCACAUUCACAAAGCUAGAAUUCCAACCAUUCUUGCUGACAGUCACUGACCAAUGAUCUAAUUCACAGUCAUCACAAGCUCUGUCUUCAUUCACCAGACUGCACGAUCAUGAGAUCUUGCCACAGCUCAAUCAGGAAUUCAUCUCAUGAUGCAGAAUCAAUCUGAGUCAGACAAGCUUGUGGCAUUUUCCCCAUUGAUUCACAUCAUCAUUGCAUAUCAUUGAGAUUCAUCAUUGGGUGAGGAUGGACUGGAGAGGCCGACAAGGAUGACAACUGUGAGAUCAAGGCAUUUGGGGGCUAGCUGCUGAGAGUAGAUCUGCAACACCAAGAGCUGUACAAUGUAACCUCCAGCGGUUUUGUCUCCGACAGAGCGUCAGAUGAGGCGGAUGAAGUGGAGCACAGAGUAUUGAGAGAGGCAGCUGGGGAGACUUUGCUUGUUGCGAAGUCAGAAGAAAAACAGAGACGUUCAGUGACAAGGCCUCAGCCGCAGAAGGAAACCAACAUAUCUUUGCAGCAAGACCCACGGUGACUUGUUUGGGAGAGAAAUCAAAGGUGGAUUGGCACGCAAUCACACGGUGUCAGGGACAAAAUAAUGGAGAAUCUCCGUCUUUCGGCUCCUGGGCGAUUGGAUAGAGCGCCACCUCCGGCGAAAUGAAAGGGACAGUGCAUCAGGCUAAAGCCAAUGCACAGGCCACAGUGGUGGCCAAGAAAGAAAGAUGCCAAGGGGGAAGCAAGGAGGAAAGAGAAGAGCAAAUGCAUCAACAAAGAGAAGCAGAGGUGAGGGGGCUUUUAUAGAUGACUGGC